rnacentral:tRNA from 1 species
GCCGGGGUGGCCGAAUGGUUAGAGCGUCGGACUUAGGGCUCCGUGGUCUCUGGGGUGCGCGGGUUCGAACCCCACUUCUGGCG